CAGCUUUUAGUUUAUAAAAAUAUAAACCUUGGGAGUUUAAGAUGUAUAUAAAAUUACAUUGCUGA
rnacentral:tRNA from 1 species